GAAAACUAAAAUGUACAUAAGCAUUUUUGGAUUUUUAUGGUAACAACAAAGAUCAUUGUAAUGUCAUCUGAAUUCACCACCAGAAUGAGAAACAAAUUUGGAAUUACCAGUAUGGUUCGUGACAGCUUUCUGAAGAAACCUUUUUGCAAGUUUUGUGAAGAAACCUUCAUAGGAAGCAGGCCACAUAUGAAGACCAGUGUUUUCUUGAGUGGGAGGAAUGUGUGCAUGUGUUUUUGGUAAACAAGAAUUUCAUAGAUCUCUUGGAAAUACCUGGAACAGAUCUAACUUCCACUAUUGGCCCAUCACAGACCAGCGUGACACCCUCUUCAUUAAUAACUGCUUCUUACAUGACUCUUGAAGUUUUCCAUAGUUUCUUACAGUUUUCCAUAGUUGCUCCUAUGGGAAUAAAUGAAUCAACAUUGCAUUUAUAAAAACAAAACCAGAGUAUGAUAAAAUAGAGCUGUUGUAAUGGAACGCAUUACAACAUUACACGGAUUAGUUUGCAUGCUUAAAAUAUUAACCUGCUAUAGAAAAUAUUGAGGGAAGAGAGGAGAGGGGAGGUAAAUCUGGUAAUUUUUCAAAAUAUUUUUCUCAAUAAUAAUAAUGAAAAAUACUGUAGGUAACUUAAGGAGUUGCCCAAUUUAGUAUGUAAGUAUAAAAAAAUGACACAAAAUAGACAUGUUUUUCUAUGUCCAAAGGAAAUUGUUGACUGACUAACAAUUUCUGUAGCUGUAGUUAGUUUUAAGUACAGUUAAAGCAAAAAACCGGCAACCUACAUCUUGAGUGCUUAAUACUACUUUUCAAAAAAAACAAGAAAAAAUUUUUAUCCUGCCAUUUUGUUAGAUCAAGUACAACUGAGAAAAUAGAUUUUGUUAUUAAAAAAAGGUCCUUUAAUUAUAUUUGAUUGAUACAAUUAUUAUCAAAGUUUUGAUAGGAUUUGGAUUUUUGUUCCUAUACUUGAUAGGAAUUUAUAAAUCAUGAAUUUUAUGUAAAAUAAAAUAAUUACAAAUUAGACUGAAUUCUUGCCCAUAUAUUUAACACAUUUGCUUGUAUUUAGAAAUAUUUAAAUUCAAGGGACUAAAGUUUUUGUCAGAUGACUAAUACUUAGAGGAUUCUACAGCUCACAAUUUAACAGAAAUGUUAACAUUAGAAAGUAAUUCCACUUAAGCUCAUUUUAAAAACACAGACCUGGGUUUCCAUUUUGACCUCCUUUACUCAUGUAAUCUUCAGUAUAUCACUACUGGAGACAUGUGACCUACUGAAUUUCACAUUUUUUAGAAGAUUAUAAAGACUCUAAAGUAUAAUGUAUAAAAGUACUAAUUUUACAAAUCAGUGACUACAGUGUAUUUGUUUACAAUAGAUAGUACAUUAAAAGUACAUAGUACUUGAUCUUCAUGCCAAGAAGUGUUCAAUAGCCAUAUAUUCUAUAUUAUUUCCAUCGGUAGGAGGCCCUGAUUUGUCCACUGAACUGUAAAAGGACACAUUUCAGAUUGUUUAGCUUCUCAUGUCUUCCUUCUCCUCUUUGAAAGAGAAUUUCCAAAGACCAGACAAGAUCAAGUUGUUAUUAAUUCAUCUAACUUUCUUGAAGUUAUUUGCCUGUGAUUUUAUUUUUGUUCAAUACUAAGACUGAAUUAUUCUUCCUUUUGACUUCAAAUACAUAUAUAUAUAUUCAAUAUAUAUUUGUAAAAUUGCCUUCCAUCAGCUCACGUGUCUUCUGUUUCUUAGUGAAAGAAACAGCAAGAGUUAACUGAGAUAUCUGGGCCUGGUGAGAAGGUGAGAAAGUCCUCCCUAACAUCUACUCUGGUUGUGCUGCUAAGACUCGUUCUGUUGUGUUCACUGGAUCAAAAAAGUAGAAGAAUACUAGAAGCAGUAUACAAUAAGCCUAGGGGUAAUAAAUUAAGAUAAAGUACGAUAAGGUAGGAUAAGGUAGACAUUUGAAUAGGAGAAACAGGCCUAGGCUGAAAGUGAAGGUUUUCUCCAAGCUUCAGUAAUCGGGGCAAGAACAAUAGAAAGGUAGAGAGGUCAGAGCAAGAAAGAUGAGAAAAAGAUCCUCAACUUGAAGGAAAAGGCCCGAUGUACCCACGAAACUGAGUGUCAAAAGAAGCACCGCCCUAAGCCCCGCCUAGAC